GGGAAUUACUGGGCGUAAAGCGCGCGUAGGCGGUUUAGUAAGUUGAAUGUGAAAKCCCCGGGCUCAACCUGGGAAGUGCAUUUGAAACUGCUUAACUAGAAUGUGGUAGAGGACAGUGGAAUUCCUAGUGUAGCGGUGAAAUGCGUAGAUAUUAGGAGGAACAUCAGUGGCGAAGGCGACUGUCUGGGUUAAYAYUGACGCUGAGGUGCGAAAGCGUGGGUAGCGAACAGGAUUAGAUACCCUGGUAGUCCACGCCGUAAACGAUGAGAACUAGAUGUUGG
rnacentral:rRNA from 1 species